rnacentral:ncRNA from 2 species
CUCUUAUCGCGAGCUGGCUGAGGGACUGGCCCUAUGAUGCCCGGCAACCGGCGCUAUACCAUGAAUCGUACGCUCAUCAUGCGUACCUUGGAUAGCGAAACGGUGCUAAUUCCAACGGAUAAGAGUCGAGAUCGAGCAAUUUUGGCUCGUUUCGGCUACUGACCCGAGAGAUGAGAG